rnacentral:lncRNA from 1 species
CGAGAUUGGCCAGAGGCGAAGACGGGGGCGGAGCUCGGCGGGGAGGGAAAGGCCGAGGGCGACGUCGAUUAGGAAGUCGGCACGGCGGCGCGGGGGAACGCGGGGUGUCUCCCCUGGUUUUUUCGGUCCCUAAACAAGUAUAGAAACUGGUUAUAUCUCCUCGUUUAAGUCACCAAAGUUCGAGGAUGAUUCACUUUUUCCUAACUUUUAAUUGGGAGGGAUUCCCAGCCCUCCCGGAAGUGGAGGGUGACGUAUGAGCGCUGCCUCGGUGGCCCGGAAGUGCUCUUUACAGCCGGUUCCUGCGGUCCGGCCGCCGUCCCGCGUCCCACCCCGGGCUCCCGCCGACCAGGCGGACGCGGCCCCAGCCCGCCGCUGCCGUUCAGCCUGCUCCUCUGUCCCCUGCGCUUCCCGAGACGAAGGCUGGAUGCCUCGUUCUUACACACCACGUCACACGUGACGUCCACGUCACGACACCGCGUCGCACACGGAGUCCACGUCACACAUGACGCCUCGUCCCGGCCGGGGACGUGCUCGGUGGCCCCGCGCGCGGGCAGCGCCGCCCUUUGCCCCGCGCGCCCCGCCCUCCUCCCGGGGGCCAGGCCGCCAGGGGCUCCGCAGGGUCUCGUUGCCGCGUCGCCCGCACGAUCGUGCUUGUUCUGUUCUAGGCGAACUGUAACGGAGCAAAUAGGGGCUGGUUGUGCUCGCUGCAAUCAGGUGCCAAUCAAUUGCAAACAAGCCAGUGGUUCAGAAAGGAAAGUUUAUAGGAUUAGCUAGCAUAAUCGCAAGAUGCUGGACUAGUGUCCUAAACAACCAUCUUAAAAGCGUACAGCAUCUUGAGGCGGUUACACAGGGGAGAGGGGCGGGGAAGGAGGGGUUUAGGGAUCUCUUCCUUCUGUCAUUCGUGACGGGUACCAACGCAGAAUUUUAUUUCUGGAGGGCGUCACGUUCCUGGGGAACUCAGGGGACAAAGUUGUCGUCUUAUCACAGCUGGGAGAUAUAGGUAAGCAAGAGUCGUAGAACUAGAGAUCACCUAUUUUGUAAAAGUGAGAGGUGCUUGAUCAUCUAGGCUCCGCGCAGGCUAGAAUGUAUCCACAGAGACAAGUGAGUCAGGGUCUUGUACAGUUACAAUGUUGCUUCCUUUCCCUAAAAUGGCCUCCCUCGUGUUAACUUAAGAUCUAGCUGUUAGAAAACGACUGGAAGGGUGUGCGGUUCUAGAGUCAGUUGUGCCGAAACACACACUUGGUUGGUUUUGUCCCAGAAAUCGAUGAAUGCCUGGGAGUCUUUUAGUCUUACAGGUCUGGGAAUUAUUUAAGAUUUGUGUUCAGAUUUGAGAAUGCCUUAGGAUCUUUUAAGACACAGCAAAUAGAUGCAAAACAUUAAAAGAGAAUCUUGUCAGCUCUCUCAUUCCGAUCUAAUUUCAGUUUAAGAAAUAGGUGUGGAGGGUCCACUGUGUUGUAGGAGUUUUCGAGGGCCGCCAUAACAAAGCGCCCGGACGGGACGGCUUACAUCCACCUUCUCUCCUUGUCCUGGAGGCUGGAGGUCCGAGGUCAGGGUGUUGGCAGGGCUGAUUCCUCCCGAGGCCUUUCUCCUGGGCGUGCAGACACCGUCUUCUCCCUGUGUCCUCACAUGGUCGUACCUCUGUGCGUGUCUGUGUCCUCAUAUCCUCUUCUUAUAAGGACACCAUCAGAUUGGAUUAAAGCCCACCCAUACGACCUCUUUAAAACUUAUCUCCUGGUUACUCAAAAAAUUGAAAAGAGAACUACCAUGUGAUCCAGCACUCCCACCUCUGAGUUUAUGAAGGGAGUGAAAUAAGGGUCUAGAAGCAAUAUCUGCACCCCUUCUUCAGUGCAGCACUAUUCACAAUAGCCAAGACAUGGGAACAACCUAAGUGUCCAUUGACAGAUGAAUGGCUAAGAAGAUGUGGUGUAUAUGAAGCUGGGUACCUGAGGGUUACUGUAAAUAUUCCAUAAGAACAUGGUUACCCUUUGACCUUGUUCCCAACACAGCCACAGAUGAAAAGAAGUUAGUUCUCAUGAAAAUCCUAGAUAAAUAACCUCAAUCCCUGUUAGAUGUAUUUGUUGAGCCCAAAUGCUUUCUUCGCAGCCCACACAUUGUUACAGCUUGUUAAUUUGCUGUUUUCUUGUUUAACCUGAGGGGUGACUCAGUGGGCACAAAGAUUUAUCAGCUCGUUUUGAAGAAGAAAAGGAAUGCCUUUAAGGAAGUUAUGAGCACCAGAUGACCUGACCCCAGCUGCCACUGGUGCCAAGAAGUUUAGUAGCUUAAGGUCUUAUGUGAAGUGAAAGAAACAAGGACUUCCCCUUUGUUUCCCAAAAACUCCACCUCCCAAGCUCCUCAGCCCUAAAAGGAGCCCUGCUUCCUUCUUUUGUUAAACUGAAUCUGAGAGAACCUGUUCUCCUGCUUUCUCGUUUUGGCCAAUUCUAAUAAACCUUUCUCCAUCUCCAAGCACUGGUGUCUCACUGAUUGGCUUACUGGGCAUCCAGCACACAGACCUGAGAUUAAGAAUUCAUUAUCAUAUAUAUAUUGUGAAAAGGUAAACCUCAUUUAAAAUGGAGUCAGGAAGCCAGAAGAGUGAUCUCCUAUGCAGUACCACUCUUGGUCAAUUAUAGGAAAGGAAAAUGAUCAAUUACAGGCCCCAACAGAAGUCCUCUAGAGGAAAGAAUCAUCAAUUACUGGAAGAAAUGUACAUUGCGUCACAAGCAGAAAUCAGUGACCCCAGCAACUCAGCCAACGAGUAACCAUCACCAUCCUGAACUCUUGCUUUUCUCCAAUGGACUUCCCUUCAAAACAACCCCUCCCAAUUUCCUCCUUUUUCCCUAUAAGAUAAUGUUCCUCUCCUUUGAUUGUUGGAUUUGCCCAUGGUCUGCCAUAGCAUGCAUAUCCCAAAUUGCAAUUCUUUGGCUAUUCCUGAAUAAACUCAUUUUAUUGAUAAAAUAACUGGCUGCUUUGUUUUUCAGGUUGACAAUAUGUAUACAAUGGAAUAUUAUUCAGCCAUAAAAAAAGACAUCCUGCCAUUUGCAAAUGAGCCUGGAGGACACUAUACUAAGUGAUGAAGAUUAGCCCUGAGCUAACAUCUGCUGCCAAUCCUCCUCUUUUUGCUGAGGAAGACUGGCCCUGAGCUGACAUCUGUGCCCAUCUUCCUCUACUUUAUAUGUGGGACGCCUACCACAGCAUGGCAUGCCAAGUGGUGCCAUGUCCACACCAGGGAUCCAAACCAGUGAACCCCAGGCUACCGAAGCAGAAAGUGCGAACUUAACCACUGUGCCACCGGGCCAGCCCCAGAGAGUAGAUCUUAAGUGUUCUCACCAUAACAACAGCAACACCAAAAGGGUAAUUAUGUGAGAAGGAAGUAUUAACUAACCUUACUGUGGUAAACAUUUCACAAGGCUGGCCCAGGGUUUCACGGCUUCAGAUCCUGGGCGCAGACCUAGCACUGCUCAUCAGGCCAUGCUAGGGCAGUGUCCCACACAGCACAAGUGGAAGGACCUGCAAUAGAAGAUACAGCUGUGUCCUGGGGAGCUCUGGGGAGAAGAAGAAGAAGAAGAAAAAAAAGAGAUUUGCAACAGAUGUUAGCUCAGGUGCCAAUCUUUAAAAAAACCCACAUUUCCCAAUAUAUGUGUAUCAAAUCAUCACAUUAUACACCUUAAUGUACAACUAAGGUACACAUUAUAUGUCAAUUAUAUGUUAUAUGAAAAUUAUAUCUCAAUAUGUUAUAUGUCAAUUAUAUCUCAAUAAAGCUGGGGGGAAAAUUAAUUAUGUCCUUAAGGCCCUGUCUCCAAACACAGUCCUGUUUUGAGGUCCUGGGAGUUGGGACUUCAACAUUUGAGUUUUAGGGGGAAACAAUUCAGCCCAUAACAAGUGCCAAACUCUGUGCUAAGC